CCUAUCUCCAAACGAAACUCAUAGUAUUAACUUGAAUGCUGAAGAAAAUCAUUAUAUGGUUAAAAAUGUAGAUUUAAUAGCGAUUCCCUGGAAUAGAGAAUUUGUUAUAUAUUUGAUAAAAGCUAAUGAUGUUACAAAUUUAUUAACUGAUAUGAUCACUGAUGAUAUGGAGGUAUUUGUGCAGAAUAAAAUUUUACGCGACGGUAUUAAAAGUGGAAUUGAUGUUCUAUAUGUCAAUGAUGGAGUCUAUCAUAAAUCGACAGAGCUAAAAAUAUAUCCAUCUGAAUGUUUGCUGGGAGCAUUGGUAACACUUGUUCGGCCCCGUCAAGUUCAUGGUUUAUUAAGCGAAGGACAAUUGCCACAACACAUAGUUGACUGUUGCGUUCAACUAAAAUAAGGAUAAUGAAUUAAACCUUUUUAUUAAAUUUUGAAUUUAUUUUAUUCAUAGUAAUAUAUAAAGCCAUUCUUGGCCAAUAAAUCUUAUAUAUAAAUAGGCCACACGUUUUUUUGUGGUACACUUUUAAGUAUGUUAUUGUCCAUUAA